GGGACAUCAUAUCUGCAGCUUUAUUUUAAAUGUUUCAGAAGAAAAAAUGUCUCAAGUGCACACACACACAUACACACAUACACAGUGGGGGGGGGAAUAAAGUUAAGUAUGAUAAAAUUAACAUUUAGGGAAUCUGGAUAAAUGGUAAACAGAAAUUCUUUGGAGUAUUUUCACAAGUUAUCUAAAAGUCUGAAGCAACUUCAAGAACGCUUUUAAAAAAUAAAAGUGGUAUAUCAAUGACAUAAAGUAGGUUAAGAGAUGACUAGGUUGUGAGAGUUUGGGUGUAUCAUGAUGAAAACUAACAUUAGUAGCUUUUUGGAGGGAAAUCUAGGAGAACACCCUCAAAUUUAAAAUGUAUACAUCUUUUAACUCGGUAACUCCACCUCUGCAAUCUGUCUCAUGGAAGUAUACUCAUAUAUGCACAAAGAUAUUUAUUGCAAUACUAUUUUGUAUUCGAAAAGUAAAACAAUCAAAAUUUCUGCUUAAGAAGAAGCUAUAUUCAGGCACAUUCAUGAUACGGAAUAAUAGGAGACAGAGGAUAGAUUUAUGAAUGUCCAAUUUGUCCUCACACAGAAAGAUCUCCAAGACACAUUAAAUGAAAAAUAAAGAAAUUGGAAAACUAUACAUAUGGUAAAAUCCCCCUUAUAUUAAAUCCCAUUGUACUACAUUAUCUUUUAUAUUUAAAAACUGGAUAGAGUUGUAAAUGCCUGGAGUUAGGUGAUGACCUCUGGGGAAGAGAGAAGAGCUUGAAGGAAGAAGGCCAUGGCAACAACUUUCAGUGUUCAUGCUAAAUACAUCUUGCUUUCUAAUACAUCAAGGUAUUCAUAUCUUACUUGAAUAAUUACAAAAUGAAUAUCCCACAAUUGGUUCAGAAAUAAACUGAGUUGGGGCACCUGGUUGGCUCAGUCUGUGCAGCAUGCAACCCUUAAUUUCAAGGUUGAAGUUCAAGCCCCAUGUUGGGUAUGGAAUUUGCCUAACAAAAAUCAUCAUUAUCAUCAUCAGCUGAGUUAUAGUAGAGUGAUAUUAAAAACUGCUGCAGAAAUCUGUUUUUAAACAAUGGGAAAGUGUUGGGGCCUGGGUGGCUCAGUUGGUUGUCUGUCUUCAGCUUAGGUCAUGAUCCCAGAUUCCUGGGAUCGAGCCCC
rnacentral:lncRNA from 1 species